GACGGAAGGUGCAAGCGUUGCUCGGAAUCACUGGGCGUAAAGGGUGCGUAGGCGGCUUGGUAAGUUGGGUGUGAAAGCCCCGGGCUCAGCCCGGGAAGGGCACUCGAAACUGCCGAGCUGGAGUGCCGGAGGGGAGAGUGGAAUUCCUGGUGUAGCGGUGAAAUGCGUAGAUAUCAGGAAGAACACCCGUGGCGAAGGCGGCUCUCUAGUACGGUACUGACGCUGAGACGCGAAAGCGUGGGGAGCGAACAGG
rnacentral:rRNA from 1 species